AUCUGAAACUCUAAAAACACCAACAUCAGCUGCAUCUUCAGGUGCAUCCUCAAGUUUUAAAAGCAACUCAGCUGAACUGAACUGAUCACAUGUGGAGGCGAAAUCCAGUGCAAGUUGACAAAUACAAGUGAGCAGACAUGGAUUUCUUCAAGGUGUUGGGUGCCGUGGCAUAAGGUGUGGCAGAUGGCACAGUGGGCGUGGUGAAAGCAGCCACUGACAGCAUGAAAGAGGCUGGUGAUAAAAUGACCAGUGCCAGCACACCUGCUGAAGGUGUUGACGCUUUGUUUGGUCUGCUCACCUCUCCGGUGACCGGCGCAGUGUCCGGUGGAACUGAAGAGAUAAUCAAAGCAUCUGGAAAAGUUGUGCAGGGCAUUGCAGGGGGCAUUGCAAGAGGUUUAGAUGACUAACUGAAAGUGUGAAUAUUGAAAGAUUUGGUCUGAUAAACAAAUUUUCUUAAACAAAUUGUAAUUGCUACUUUUUUCUUCUUUUUCUCACUACAUAUCCUUUGGUAAAUGCAUUAGCAAGCAUGUUAAACUUUUUCACACAUGUUGUUGUAGAUGUUGAUUGUUAAUUGUGUUAGAAUUUUCACUCAGCAAAAACAAUGUGUUUGGAACAAAUAUACGUUUUCUAACUUUUUUUCUUUUUAAGGAAAUUUUAAUUAAAUGACAGCU